GGCUCAGGAUGAACGCUGGCGGCGUGCUUAACACAUGCAAGUCGAACGAAGCACUCUGAUUUCUUCGGAUUGAUGAGUGACUGAGUGGCGGACGGGUGAGUAACGCGUGGGUAACCUGCCUCAUACAGGGGGAUAACGGUUAGAAAUGACUGCUAAUACCGCAUAAGCGCACGAUACCGCAUGGUAUUGUGUGAAAAACUCCGGUGGUAUGAGAUGGACCCGCGUCUGAUUAGCUAGUUGGUGGGGUAACGGCCCACCAAGGCGACGAUCAGUAGCCGACCUGAGAGGGUGACCGGCCACAUUGGGACUGAGAUACGGCCCAGACUCCUACGGGAGGCAGCAGUGGGGAAUAUUGGGCAAUGGGGGAAACUCUGACCCAGCCAUGCCGCGUGAGUGAGAAGGUCUUCGGAUUGUAAAGCUCUUUUGUGCAGGAAGAUGAUGACAGUACUGCAAGAAAAAGCACCGGCAAACUUCGUG
rnacentral:rRNA from 1 species